ensembl:lncRNA
AUUCAGCCAUACCCCAAUAUCCAAGUGAAUAGUGGCAAAGUUGUAAAAUGCGAGGACACAGUAAUCGCACUGCAGUGUUGUGUUCAGGGGAGUUAUGAAGUGAAAUGGACUGACCCUGUAGCUUGCAACUCAACUUCAACAGUCCCACUGAAAGGCUGCACAUUAUGUGAAUAUAAAAUUAACAAGCAGGACUGCCAGUCUACUGACCAAGUUAUACUGGUCACAUGUCAACUCACAUCACCUAUCAGUGGAAGUACAACUCAAAGUUACAAUUCAAAGAGCAUCAAAAUAGAUGUCAUAAAAGGGGAACGAAAGACCUACUAUCAGAAGCAGCAGAUCGCCA